GCAGGAGGUGGAGCUUGACAGGCAGCACAUCAGAAACAAUCCGUCCAAGUACAGCUUUUACACCCUUGAUUGCUGCUGCUUUACAACAUCUGCUUGGUCCACUAUUAGGUAUGCAGCUCUUCAUGUUGGUGGUUUUAUUCACUGGGUUUACUGGUGUUUAUAGUGUGGUCCUCCCUCCUGACAAGAAGGAACUGAACAGUUUAGAAGAUACGACUGCUUCUCUGUCCUACAGGCUCUCUCAAAAGGCUGAAAUUAAUGAUAAUUUCUUCUGGUACCGUCAGUAUCCCGGAGAACCUCCACAGUUCCUGCUGUACAUCUCAGGGUUUGGUAACAACAGGACAGCUGAGUCUCUUGGUUCAGACAAAAGGUUUUCUACUGAACUGACUAAAGAGAAGACUGGAGUGGAUCUGAAGAUCUCCUCUGUUGCAGUGACAGACUCUGCUCUGUACUACUGUGCUCUGAGGCCCACAGUGACAGGAAACACACACUCCCUGUACAAAAACCUGCUGAGCACAAAACACUCUUCCAUCUCCCCCUGA